rnacentral:rRNA from 1 species
GACGAACGCUGGCGGCGUGCCUAAUACAUGCAAGUCGAGCGAAUCUAUGGGAGCUUGCUCCCUGAGAUUAGCGGCGGACGGGUGAGUAACACGUGGGUAACCUGCCUGUAAGACUGGGAUAACUUCGGGAAACCGGAGCUAAUACCGGAUACUUUCUUUUCUCGCAUGAGGGAAGAUGGAAAGAUGGUUCUGCUAUCACUUACAGAUGGACCCGCGGCGCAUUAGCUAGUUGGUGAGGUAACGGCUCACCCAGGCGAGGAUGCGUAGCCGACCUGGGAGGGUGAUGGGGAACAGUGGGAGUGAGACGAGGCACAGAAUCCUGAGGGAGGCAGCAGUAGGGAAUCUUCCGCAAUGGACGAAAGUCUGACGGGGCAACGCCGCGCGAGCGAAGAAGGCGUUCGGGUCGUAAAGCUCUGUUGUUAGGGAAGAAAAAGUACGAGAGUAACUGCUCGUACCGUGACGGUACCUAACCAGAAAGCCACGGCUAACUACGUGCCAGCAGCCGCAGUAAAAC